rnacentral:tRNA from 1 species
GGGCGGUUGGCGCAGUUGGUUAGCGCGUUUGCUUGACAUGCAAAAGGUCACAGGUUCGAAUCCUGUACCGCCCACCA